GACGUAGGGUGCGAGCGUUGUCCGGAUUUAUUGGGCGUAAAGAGCUCGUAGGCGGCUCGUCGCGUCAGCUGUGAAAACCCGCAGCUUAACCGUGGGCUUGCAGCUGAUACGGGCGGGCUAGAGUUCGGUAGGGGAGACUGGAAUUCCUGGUGUAGCGGUGAAAUGCGCAGAUAUCAGGAGGAACACCAGUGGCGAAGGCGGCUUGCUGGGCCGGACCUGACGCUGAGACGCGAAGGCGUGGGGAGCGAACGGG
rnacentral:rRNA from 1 species